CUCAAGUUGAUAAACACCGGCGUCAAGCGUGAUUAAAGCUUACAUAAAUUAGGGUCAAAUUGACACUUAGUAGUUAAAAGCUUGUCAUCAAGAAAACCAUAAACGAAAGUUACCCUAAUUAUAAUACUUGAAUACACGACAGCUGGGAGGACAAACUAGGAUCAGAUACCCUACUAUGCCCAGCCGUAAACAAUUAAUUUACACCAACCAACGCCAGGGGAUUACGAGCCAUGCUUAAAACCCAAAGGACUUGACGGUGUCCCAUUCCCCCUAGAGGAGCCUGUUCUGUAAUCGAUGAUCCCCGCUAUACCCAACCAUUCCUUGCUCCAGUCUGUAUACCUCCGUCGAAAGUCUACCCUGUGAACGCAAGUAGGCCUAAUGGACCCCACCCAUACGUCAGGUCAAGGUGCAGCUCACGGAAUGGAAAGUAAUGGGCUACAAUUUCUAAUAUAGAACAAACGAACGACUGUGUGAAACCAUGGUCACGAAGGUGGAUUUAGUAGUAAAAAGAAAAUAGAGUGUUCUUUUUAACCCGGCUCUGGGACGCGUACACACCGCCCGUCACCCUCUUCAAUAGCUUUACCUCAUGUUUAUAACUCUUUACCCGCGCCUUAGAAGAGGCAAGUCGUAACAUGGUAAGUGUACUGGAAAGUGCACUUGGACUACAA
rnacentral:rRNA from 1 species